UAAUAUUCUCUCUCUCCUCCUCCCCCCUCCCUCCCUCCCUCCCUCCCUCCCUCCCGUUUAGUUCCAGAUGGUUCUUGUCCAGUCUGUGUUAAUAUCCUCUCUCUCUCCUGUGUUUAGGUCCAGGUGGUCCAGUCUGUGUUAAUAUCCUCUCUCUCUCUCCUGUGUUUAGUUCCAGGUAGAUCCGGUCCAGGUGAUGUGACCUAUGCUGACAUCAACCACACUGAUAAGAGACAACACAACAGGAGGAGAGAGAAGGUCGUUCCAGACCCUGUCUACUCAGCAGUGAAGACAGACAGAGAUACAGGUCAAAAGGUUGUUCCAGACCCUGUGUACUCAGCGGUGAAGACAGAUAGACAGAGAUACAGGUAGAGCUGUAUCUGGAUCCUGGGACUUAACGUACAGACUGAGGUAGGUCCAGAUCACUGUAUCACUAACCCUAAUGUACAGACUGAGGUAGGUCCAGAUCACUGUAUCACUAACCCGAAUGUACAGACUGAGGUAGGUCCAGAUCACUGUAUCACUAACCCUAAUGUACAGACUGAGGUAGGUACAGAUCACUGUAUCACUAACCCUAAUGUACAGACUGAGGUAGGUCCAGA
rnacentral:lncRNA from 13 species